rnacentral:rRNA from 1 species
GGGUCAGUAGGUUGGUCGUGCCACCGGUACGUACUGGUCUCACUGAUUCCUCCUUCCUGAAGAACCGUAAUGCCAUUAAUUUGGUGUUGCGGGGGAACAGGACUGUUACUUUGAAAAAAUUAGAGUGUUUAAAGCAAGCUAACGCUUGAAUACAUUAGCAUGGAAUAAUGAAAUAGGACGAUCGAUCCUAUUUUGUUGGUUUCUAGGAUUGACGUAAUGAUUAAUUGGGAUAGUUUGG